rnacentral:rRNA from 1 species
CUUUUGUAGUAAUACGAGAGUAUCCUAGUGGCGAACGGGUGAGUAUCGCGUUGGUGACCUACCCCAAAGUCUGGGAUAACGGUUCGAAAGGACUGCUAAUACCGGAUGUGGUCAUCGGGUUUAGAAACCGAUGUCUAAAGGAUUUAUUCGCUUUGGAGGGGCCUGCGUCCCAUCGGCUAGUUGGUAAGGUAACGGCUUACCAAGGCGACGACGGGUAGGGGACCUCAGAGGGUGGCCCCCCACAAUGGAACUGAAACACGGUCCAU